UAGUAAUUAGAGCUUGAAUCAAGACACACUUUUUGACAUGACAACCAAAUACUGUGCCAAUUAUGAAGCCUAUUUCGGCAGCGGAACAAAGCUGACCGUUCUUGACAACAGUAUUAAAAUCACAGAGCCAAAGAGAGUCAGCCUGCUAAAUGUUUCAGAGAAUGAAGUGUGUACAAAGACAAACGUCACACUGGUUUGUGUGGCUGAAGGAUUUUAUCCUGACCAUGUGUCUGUGUCCUGGUCUGUUGAUGGAGAAAAACGUGAAACUGAUGUGAGCACAGACGAAGCUGCCAUCCAAAAUGUUACAACAAAUUUCUACAGCAUCUCCAGCAGACUGAACAUCAAUUACAAAGAUGAGUGGACUAAAGGCAAAGAGUUCACCUGUACUGUCAGUUUCUUCAAUGGGACAGUCUACACAGAACACAGUGACUCCUAUAGAUCACCAAAAAGUGAUCUUGGUGAGAAUUUAGUCGAAAAAUAUAUUCAAUCAGCGAAUGUAACUAUGCUGGCCUACGGCAUGUUCAUUGGCAAGAGCAUUGCGUACGGCUUAUUCAUCCUGUACGUCAUCAAGAGACAGGGUUUUAUUUCAAAGUAAAGGCAAUGUGACUGAUAUGGGCAUGAUGGAGAACUGCCAUGUGGUCACAUGACAGAGGAGGACUUUUACACCGUUGAUACCAAUAAUCUAACAGUUAGUUCAGAUAAGCUCUGUAUUUAAAGGCACGAAGAUUUUCGCUUUGCUAAUUCUGCAAUACAUUCGAUUUAUUUUUCUUUACUACUGCUUGGUUUAAUUCAAUUUAUACAUAUUUGAAUAGAUUUUUAUUAGAAACAUUUUUACUCUGCAAUUAUUCUUUCACUUGAUGUAUAAAACAAGAAUUUCUUAUGACUGUCUACAUUAUUCAGGCUUGCUUGAAAUGUUUCAUAAUAAUGAUUUCUGUAUCAUAAAAUGUAUUAAAAUAAAACACGUGAUUAUG